CAUCUGCACCUCCUCCGUCAUCACGCCUGAAAGACAAUGGCGCCCAAACGUCCAGAUAUCGGCCUCAACCACUAUAUCUGAUAAUUGAAGGACUGCAGACAUAUGUACACCCGUCAUACGCGGAUGCCUCCUUCAAGCGGCGCGUUGGGUGUUAAGCGCCGGCCGGCCGCGGAAGCGACUUCAUCUGCCGGGUUGCCGUUGCAAUGCAUUUCGACCCUGGGAGACCCUAGGGGUCGAUCUGAAGUUCCCGUAAGCGGUAAGGAAAGUAAAUUCGGAAAAAAAUAUGGCGUCAAGAAGGCAUCAUGACUGAAUGUGAACAAAGAGCUGACGACGGCCAGGGUAUGAGAGGACCCCAACCAGACCAGAGAUCGUCUUGCCUUCCCCAGCAGCGAAAACAACAGGCCUCUUCCCUACCUUCCUUUCCCUCUACUGCGUACCGACACCACCGUCCUGGGUUCGCUGCAGAACCUUUUUGCUCUGGAGGUACCAACUACAACUACCAAGCCGUUGCAGCGGUCCUCCAUCCCAGGGUGCUGUUGGUCCUUGCUCUUGGGGUUGUUCGGAGUGCAUAUGGAAUGCAUGGAUAGGGGGUGGAAGUGAAGGGAAAGGUGACCGCAGAUCAUAAGGCCAGUCUGUUCAUAACUCUAAACUGUUUACAUUACCCCU